ACUGCACAAUGCAAGCUGUGCAUGUGUAGUGUUUGACAUCAGACUGAGGCCUGAGACUAGAGAUAGAGAGGAUGAGAUGGCUGGAUGGCAUCACUGACUUGAUGGACGUGAGUCUCAGUGAACUCCGGAAGUUGGUGAUGGACAGGGAGGCCUGGCGUGCUGCGAUUCAUGGGGUCGCAAAGAGUCAGACAGGACUGAGAGACUGAUCUGAUCUGAUCUGAUCUGAGGAAGCCCAGGCCUCGUGGGGAGGCUUACUGAAGCUCGGCCAGCAUACCCAGCUUCAGCUGCAGACCUGACAGUGACGUCACCUCCAGAGGAGUCCAGCUCCUAGUGUCAGUAUCAACCCCAACUGGUGUCACUUUGUGAGCUGAGAGGUUCACAUAUGGUGUCAAGUGAGAAGAGCUCACCUUCAACCUUGAGAGUGAAAAUGGGCAUCCUGAACUAUUGUUCUGGAGUUCCCAGGAGGACCUGGUGAAGGACCCCCCCUUAGGGAUGGAAUGAGGAACAAGAACUGAGUACCCUGAAGGUUUAUGAAACAGCCAAUGAGAUUUCUUCAUAUUCUGGUAUAUACAUCCCUCUGUUCAGAUACAAUCUAAUUGAUGAAGGUGGGUCUCUUUGCUGCCUCAAGUUGGGGAGGAGCCCUGAAUUUGGGUUCCUACAGGUGGUGAGACCAACAGAUUCAUAUCCCAGGAAAAUGUGCUGGCCCAGUUCUAGUGUCUCCAGAAGCAGCUGUAUCAUUUAGAUGGUGUGGGAUUGUGUGAAGGAGGGUGUUUGGAGGUGGGGCUGUGUGAACCCACAUAGUAUGAUUGUGAAUCUGCCUAUCUGUGUAUUUCCUCAGGAGAUAUUUCCUUUUAGACAAUAAAGCUGUCGGUGUUCUUUGCAAAAAAGUCUCAUUAACACUGCACAGUCUCUGUGC
ensembl:lncRNA